CGGCAACAGCUCAAAUUUGAAAUCUGGCCUUUGGCCCGAGUUGUAAUUUGUAGAGGAUGCUUUUGGUGCGGUGCCUUCCGAGUUCCCUGGAACGGGACGCCUUAGAGGGUGAGAGCCCCGUACGUGGUCGCAGGCCUUCUCGAGGUAAAGCCCCUUCGAC
rnacentral:rRNA from 1 species